rnacentral:lncRNA from 1 species
CAGCCUUGAGGGGGAAGAAGCUGUCGCAGGCGGUGACCACUCCGAAGGGACCUGCCGCCCUGCCCCCACCCACUUGCACAGCCAUCCAGCCCCUGGCCGCCUCCACGUUGCUUCUGUUGGUGCCAGGUGGGAGUGGGGCAGGGCUGGCGGGAACAGAGCAGGGUGCGGUCCCCCCUCCCACCCCCUGCGUCCUGCUGGGGGCUCUGGCCGUUGCUGGGCCGGGGGAGGGUAGGUCGUGCCGAUUUCUGUCUUGUACGUUUUGUUCUGC